GUACGGAAUUACCGUGGCUAUAGGUUAGGUUCCGUUUAUUUUGGUGUAGUUCGAACUACGGACACGGUGUGUAGGCUUGGAAUUUUAAUCGGAUAACUUGAUUGGAUUGAGUGUGAUUUAUGUAAACAAUUCAGAUUGUCAGCUUUUUAAAAAACCUGAAUAUAGAUAGUGGUAACAUUAUUUCCUAGUUUGGCUGCACUGAGAAGAUUUCACCAAAUGGAAAGUAAAUUCUAGUAACUACACAAUUUCAAUAGAAGAAAGUGCACAGGAAAAAAGAUAUUUAGGGUAAAAAAAAAGCCCGACAAAAUAGCGAAUUGUGUAAUGCCAGUUUUCUCUGUUGUAUAAACUCCCAUUCGCGGUUGAAGAUUGCUGGAUACUGCUCUCCUCUUGAGGCGGAUGAGGGAUUUUUAAUGUCAACAUGCUAGCUAGGACGUAGCCUCUGUCUCCAUCCACCUCACAUACGACCAUCACUGUCAUCCACUUCCGGUCGAAUGACGUCACCUCCGCCCAGCCCCGCCCCUCACUAUGGAUAGCUCCUACCGAUGGGACACGCCAUAACCCCCCACUGGAUUCAUCCAGUUCCGGCCGGCCGAAUCUAACCGUUCCGGUUCACACAGCCUGCUCUCGCCUACGUCACAUCCGGUGGAUCGUGAUGGCGUCGAGCGUCAACCUGGCCAAACUUGCCGCUCUGGCGGCUGUGACGUGCAUCCUGCUGCUGACGUCACGUGACUGCGGGGCCCAGCUGGUGGUCCGGCAGAGGGAGGUGGUGGUGGACAUCGGCAGGGCCACCUACCUGGCCCGGGACGACCUGGUGGUGUCCAGCGUCAGGAAGGGGGAGAGCUGCCGGAUAGAGGUCGUCACGACGGACCCGGUCACUCAGAG